rnacentral:rRNA from 1 species
AUGCCACUACGAGAUGGUGCGGUCGACUUUGCGGCAUGGCAUUACGACUCCAAAGGGCUCUUCUCAGUUAAACAAGCGUACAAACUAAGCAUAGCCCUUGUGGAGGCCGAUGAGGGACAAGCUGGGGAGGGCCAGCACGAGGCUGACUCGCUGAAUGAGGGGGGUCAGGACAAGUGGAAGAGAAUUUGGCGUAUGGCCUGCCCGGGGAAAAUCAAGCACUUUGGGUGGCGAUUGGCACACAACACUUUAGCCACCAAGGAUAUCUUAUGUAGGAGGGGCAUGACUAUUGAGAAUCACAAGUGCUUCAUGUGCAACUCCGGAAACGAAUCAGGUAAACACCUGUUUGUGGAGUGCAAGGAGAUCAAACAUGUGUGGCGGGCUCUUAAUCUCGAGCAUGCCCAUCAACAGCUAGAAGAAUGUGAGUCUGUAGGUGCAACCCUGGACACUUUGUGGACAUUACCGGAGAAGGAUCGGAUGCUGAUUGUCGUCAUGUGGUGGCAAUGGUGGACGCAACGAAACAAAGUGAGGGAGGGCGAGAAACCGCUGGAGCAUGGUCAAUUCGCCUGUAGGGCUGCAUGCACUUUGGAGGAGUAUCAGGGUUAUUAUUGCAAAACAGGCAAACCACAUGCAACACCGCAGCUCUGGCGCCCGCCACCGACCGACGUCCUCAAAUUCAAUGUUGAUGGAGCCCACAUCCCUGGCGAACAGACUGGUGCAUGGGGUGUAAUAGUGCGGGACAGAGAAGGGGCGAUGGUGGCAGCUCGUUCGGGUCGAAGCGAUCAUGUCGGUGAUGCUUUUGGCGCGGAGCUGCUCGUCAUCCCAAAAGCGAUUGAUAUUGCUUCAGAGCUGGGUGUAGUGCACCUAAUUGUCGAAACUGAUGCUCUUUUAGUGGAACAAGCCUUUAACAGAAGAGGUCUGGACUUCUCAAAGCAGGCACAGUUGAUUGAGGAUCUCAAGCUUCAAAUGAAUCUCUGGUUCGCCUCGUGCGAUGUGCUCCAUUGUAGACGGGAGGCAAAUGUGCCAGCCCACCAGUUAGCCAAGCUAGGGUUAUCUCUCUGA